GCAGAGGGGUGAAGUGUUUCUUUCGGGAGUAAUAAGGAUGUGCUAAAAUGGGCUGUCGUGGUGGGAGGGUAACAGUGGACGUACUAGAAGCCGUUGGAACGUGCACUUUAACGAGCGAACUGGACGGCGUAUGAAUUCUGUCUUGGCAGGACCGUUAAAAGCGAGUCUACGCUUUUGAUUCAGUGCUCUUUUUGUACCGUGUCUUGGCCCAGAGGGGAGGCUGUGUCCGGUCCAAGGCCUCCAGCAGCCUCAGACGCGGCACGGGUGCAUCAUGAGCAAUUACAGCCCAGCCUGGUGGAAGAUGGCGCAUGGUCCGGUCGCCCCCUUGCCCCGGCCCACAGCGAGCUAAUCAGCCAACGUGUGAGUGAGGCCGUCCCAGAUCGCCGGCCCUCAGCCACCUCUCCAGCUGACCACGGACCCACGAGCCAUCAAGACCAGCCAAACCCCCGGCUGAUGCAUAAACUCGGGAUCCAUAACAAGCAGUCAUUAAGUUGCAUCUUCUUGGGGCAACGUUACUCAACAAUGACAUACGGCCGCCAUGAUAAUUUUCCUUUAACAAGGCUCUAUUGAGAGAUCGUUCACACUUAACUGCGAGUCCCCUUGUCAAAGUGUACGAGUCGGUGGCAUUUAUCCACAGAGUGGCACUUCCAUCCGUGCGGUUGAUUUUAGAACAUUUCAUCAUCGAAGGAAGAAGCUUGGCAUCCGCUAGCAGUGGCCCUGCCCCCACCCCAAAACCCCCUCCCCAUCCUCUGGCGUCCACUCGUCUACGCUGUGUCUCUAUGGGUUUGCUUCUCCUGGACAUUUCCUAUAAAUGGAAUCCUUCAGUAUGUGGCCUUUGGUGACCGGCUUCUUUCCGUUGGCACAACGUUUUCAAGGUUCAUCCGCAUUGUUACCGUAGCGUCCUGACUUUUCAUUAAAAGGCCUCCUUAUCUGCUUCCUUACGAACUCUCUUUCUCCAGUAAAAUGUAAGAUCUGUGACCUCAGGGAGUUUGCUUACGCUCAUGAACCGCGGCCUCUCCGCUGCCUAGGACUGAGCUGUGCACGCAGAACGCCCCUGGAAAGAACGCGUGGGUUAAGGGGGAGAUCAAGAAACACGGUGAAGGGCUGUUGAAAGAGCCUGAACAGGCUCUGCGUUACAAGCUGGUCCGCACCCGGGCGUGUCUCAGGGUGCCCCUGUCACGUGGCGGCCGAGUGAGGGCCACCUCCGGGGGCCACCACUGCCGGUUCCUCCAAACCCAGGUGCCCGUUGCCUCCUCCCCAAGCCUCACGCAUUGUGGUUCCAAAGCAACGCUCUUGCCGUGGUUGAGUAACGACAACGAAACCUUCCUUCCUUCGCUUCUGGCAACAUUGACAAAUUGACAGGGGAGGGGGAGGGAAAUCUUACCUGGUAAUGAGAGUUGUUUUGCCUCGGGUGCAGAGUGUUCCCCCCGCUGUCCUCCUUUCUCCCUCCACCCCCCGCUCCCCGGGGAGGAGGGCGCUAAUGGGGUGACGGGCACGGGGCUUUUCCAGACCCACCUGCACACUUGCCUUAAUGCCCCGGCCCCCGGUGGGGACGAGUGACAAGGUUAUUUGGACCUGCCUCACCGUAAACCUUGACAGAGUCUUUCAUUUAAAGAAAAACAAACGUCCUUCAUUUUCGAAGCUCUCUGUUGGCACUGGGGGGCCGAGCCUGCGAGCUGUUUCCGCGGCCUCCAUCUCCAUUCUCUCCCGUGUGAUGGAACGAGGCUUUAUUGGCAUCGCUCUAUCAAGCGGGGGAAGAGGAAGCAAUCCAGCUGCAAAUUACCUGGAUAAAACCCUUGUCACAAGACGUAAUCGUGUCUGAACCAACAUCGGGGCCCCGGGGGCUGGUGUCGCCUGUCGGAACAUCGGGACUCCUCCCAGCUCUCCGCAGAACUGUGAAGGUCGGAGAAUGUUCAUCUGUUGAGGGAUAGACACGUGGGGGAGAGUGAUAAUUGUCAGAUCUCUGGAGACCCAUUUGGCGUUCCAGCACUGAUGCCUCACCUGUGCCGUGACUUGCCCAACGGACUUGUAAGGGGCACACGUGACUCAUGCCUCCAACAAGGCUGCCAGGGGCCAGGGCAAAAGGAUGUGUCACAAAGGAGAAAGAUGGUCGCCUGGCAUUUGGGUGAACAGAAUCCCACUCAGGACCAACCUCCAUGCGGGGGACAAAGGGCAGGGGACUUGUAGAUGGACCGAGAGCUGCAGGCGUGUGAUGUGUUCUGAACCUCACAGGCGCUCGGCCAGGACGCUCGGAUGUGGAGCCCAGGCCGACCGACAGAGGGGCUCCUCCUGGCAAUGCUGGGGGGGGGCUCCGUCUGCCUCCCCGCUAAGACGUGGCACCAGAAUCUGUCAAUAGACAGCACACUUGUCACAGUGGACUUUGUUCGACUGAUUCAGAUGGGUGGGACUCUUGAUAUGUUUUUGAUGGAGGGGAUUCGUGUUAUUUAUAAUGUGGCUGGUCAUUUAGAUUUUAUUAGUAUUUUAAUGUUGCCCUACUCCAACCCACAUUACUUACAACCCAAAUUCUGAGUGCUCUUAAUGUGACCCCGAGGGCUGUGGAGCCCCGAUGGAGGCGGGCCAGCUGAGUUCCGGAACCUUCCAUCAUUGCGUGCCAGGCAGCCGCUGUCUUCACACCGAGUUCCGGAAAGUGUGUCAAACAGUAGCUUUAUGUGUCAGUGGGCAGAACUACUGAAGGGCUCCCAGACAGCGGGUGAGUGUGAUUUCUGGGUGUCUCUGGAAGAGAUCAGCCCUUGACCCUGUAAGACCAGGAAGAUCACUGCCCACCAUGCGGGCAGGUGCCAUGUGGCCCCCUGGUGGCCUGGGUAAAACAAAAAACAGAGCGACUGUCAAUUCCCUCUCUGCGUGAGCUGAGUCUCAGGCCCCAGCCGUCAGGGAGGGGCUCCCACACCCGCCUCCUGGCUCUCUGGCCUCCUCGUCACACGACAUCACACGUCCGGCUCCCCCUGGCCCCCAGCCACAGGCGGGAGAUCUCGGGGCCUCUCAGGAUCCGUUAUCACCUGCGCCAGCUCCCGUAACACAACUCUUAUCUCUCUCCGUUUAUCCUGUUGGCUCUGUUUCCCUGGAGAACCCAGACUAGUAACAACAUCCACGGAGCAGUCCUUUGUUUUUUAAAUCGCAUUUCUCCAUUUCAUGACGCAAAGGCAAAAUACGUUUCAAACAUUUCAGAUGACUGCUCUCCCCCAUCCUCUGAAUAAAGAAGCUUUGUUGUUCACACCUCUCAUCUUCCAUUUCGUGAGAAUCCCACUGUUUCCAGCCCGGCCCCCGUGUGUCAUCAGAAUGAUGGAAAGCAGUGUGGAGAUGUGGAGGUCAUAGGGUCCUGGGGCUCGGGACAGGGCCGCGGCCCAGACAGACCCGUGUUCAUCAAUUUGAGGCACAGAUGAGCUCCCCAAGCAGGAGAGCACAGUCGUGGAAAAGAGAAGGGAGCCCAGGACCGAGCCCUCGCUGCCUGGGUCUGCUCUUGCCUUGUCCUGAGUCACUCCCCCGUCCUGCCCCCCUCAGACCCUGCACAGCAUUGCCCUGUGUCCCUCCUUCCUACAUUCAUUUAUUUUGCCCUCAUUGUCCUUGGAACAGUCUUUUCCCAUUUAGGGAAUGUGUUAGUUUCUCAUCGCUGCUGUAACGAAUCACCACAAAUGUGCAAGUGGCUUAAAACAACGCACACUCAUUAUAUUACAGCUCUGUAGGCCAGAAGUCUGAAAGUCACGUUCCUUCGAGAGGCCCCAGGUAGGAUCCUCCUCUUGGCUUUUCCGGCCUCCCCAGGCAGCUGGUGUUCCUUGGCCCCCAGGAUAAUCCAGGAUAAUCUCUUCACCUGAAGGGCCUCGCUCCCAUCUGCAAAUCGCCUUUUGCUGCGAAGGCAACAGAUUCUCACGUCCCCAAGUCUCGGACGAGGAUGUUGCUCGUCGGCCCAUCUCGGGGACAUCCUCCCAACGGGAGCCUCACGUUCCCAUUUAAGAAGGCAGAUGGCAAGUCCCCAACGCCCUCCACCUCCCGUCUUGUUGCAAGGAUGCCGCUUCUCGGGGAGGAACUGCAGCCUCUCGGGAGGGCAGGCAGCACCGGGACUCGAGCGGAUGACGGGGCAGGCGAGCGGCUCGGGUUGGUGCAGUUACAGGGCUGCUGAAGUAGACAGCCAGACCCGAGGGAGCAGAGCGUGUAGCACUCACGAUACCGGAGCCCACGCCAGCAUCAGGGUCAGCGUGCCCCACCCCCUGCACCAGGCCCCGUGAGGCUGCUGGGUACACACACACUGGGAGGCACCACCACCAGGAAGCACAGCGGCCAGGACCCAGAGCCUGCGGGGGGGGGGGGGGCAGCAAACAGUCCCUCCAUGGGCGCCUGACCUUCUCUGUUGCCUACAUGGUUAGCUACUGAGACUGCUCAGUAUUGGCACGAUAAUCGGGCACGAUAACUGGCAGAUAAUUGGCACGAUAAGCGAGGACAUGCAGAGAUGCUCCAGGACCCGGGCAGUGCCUCUCCCAACACAGCAGAGGCCCCAUCCGACUCAGUGAGAUUCCCCUGGAUGUGACUUGAGUUCCAAGGUUCAGUGAAUGAAAACAUCUUCCCAACGACGCUCACCUCCCUGGACUCUCCAAAAUGCACCAUUUCCUCCACUAACUUUUCUACACCGAUGACUUCAGAGGCGUAAAGGGGGCUCGGAGAGGAGAACGUCGUUAACAUUUUCUGCCUCUGAACCAGGAAAAGCCAGCCUUCAAGUGCUAUUGAUUUACUUUCUGUUCGGAGAAGUUAUUUGCUCUGAUGAAGGUGG